CCUACGGGCGGCAGCAGUGAGGAAUAUUGGUCAAUGGACGAGAGUCUGAACCAGCCAAGUAGCGUGAAGGAUGACUGCCCUCUGGGUUGUAAACUUCUUUUAUAUGGGAAUAAAAUGUUCCACGUGUGGGAUUUUGUAUGUACAAUAUGAAUAAGGAUCGGCUAACUCCGUGCCAGCAGCCGCGGUAAUACGGAGGAUCCGAGAGUUAUCCGGAUUUAUGGGGGUGAAAGGGAGCGUAGUGGGAUUGUUAAGUCAGUUGUGAAAGUUUGCGGCUCAACCGUAAAAUUGCAGUUGAAACUGGCAGUCUUGAGUACAGUAGAGGUGGGCGGAAUUCGUGGUGUAGCGGUGAAAUGCUUAGAGAUCACGAAGAACUCUGAUUGCGAAGGCAGCUCACUGGACUGUAACUGACACUGAGGCUCGAAAGUGUGGGUAUCAAACAGGAUUAGAUACCCUUGUAGUC
rnacentral:rRNA from 1 species